GAAUAUGAUUGAAUUAACGGUAUUUGAUCUUUUAACAUUAAGAAAUAUUUUUUUCAUCAUACAUAUUUGUAUAAAAGUUAACAUGUUGUAUUAACCAUGCAAUAAUUUGAACAAAUAUCCAAGCCAUUUGUAUAGUUUAACAGUGCCAAAUAUUUAUUUUGUUUAAACAGAAAAGAAAUGUUGUAUUUUAUAACUAAACUGUGUAAAUAUUUUGUUUAAAUUCAAUAGAAAAUAGAAGUUCUAUGGAAAAUUUUGUGUAGAUUUAUCUUGAAAUUAGAUAUGGUAAGUCAAAUACAGCACACAUUUUAUAAGUGCACAUAGAUUGCCAAAUUGUUCAUGUGAUUCACUCUGAAUUUUUUCAUAGAGCCACAGUUUUGCAGCUAUUGGCAUUAAUAAUUCUAACAACAUAUCAGACCUUUAAUAAUGCUUUGAAAUUUUAAGUGUCAUAUUAUGGUUUCUUCUUUUAAUCUGUCAAAGUAAAGCAAAGUACCCUGUAUGAUUUGUUAAAUAAAUUAUUUAACUCCAUUGU
rnacentral:misc_RNA from 1 species